rnacentral:rRNA from 1 species
GAUGAACGCUGGCGGCGUGCCUAAUACAUGCAAGUCGAGCGGACGGACGCGAAGCUUGCUUCUUUGACGUUAGCGGCGGACGGGUGAGUAACACGUGGAUACCCUACCUAUCAGACUGGGAUCACUUCGGGAAACCGUAGCUAAUCCCGGAUAAUAUUUUGCACCGCAUGGUUCAAAAGUGAAAGACGGUCUUGCUGUCACUUAUAGAUGGAUCCGCGCUGCAUUAGCUAGUUGGUAAGGUAACGGCUUACCAAGGCAACGAUGCAUAGCCGACCUGAGAGAGUGAUAGGCCACACGGGAACGGGGACGCGGUCCAGACUCCUACGGGAGGGAGCAGUAGGGAAUCUUACGCAGUGGGCGAAAGCAUUACGGAGCAACGCCGCGUGAGUGAUGAAGGUGUUCGGAGCGUAAAACUCUGUUAUGAGGGAAGAACAUAUGUGUAAGUAACUGUGCACUUCUUGACGGUACCUAAUCAGAAAGCCACGGCUAACUACGUG